CUCAGCACUCACCUGCUUCUCCCUCCUUCUAUCCCAUCCUCCAGCAGCUCAAUCCCUCCUUCCUCAUUUUACUCCACAAACUCUUACCUCUCACCUGAACCCCAUAAUCAUAAAUCAAUAAUUGCAAGAUGACCUCUACAUGAAUACAAGCCUGUUGAAGAUGCUUAUUAUUUAGAUGACAUAGAGAGUGUUUCCUGUUUAUCUUGUCCUGGAUUUGUGAAGGAUUCUGCUACAAAUAAGUGCCUUGGCUGAAGCAUCAGCUUCCAUAGGAUCAGCCUGAUUUUACCAAGCUGCUGAGGAGUGCAGAGGACAGGCCUCACCCCAUGAUCCUGCUGCGCCUGGCAGGUGCCUUUAGCAGUUUCAUGGGGUCUGUAAGCCCACUGCAUGCCCUGCUGUGGCCAGGUCACUGAAGCAAAGGAGCUGCUGGGGAAAAUGUGUCACUAUGGGCAUUGCCAGGAGGAGUCUGAGCAUCCUGGAGGAGUCCACCCAGGAGAAGAAGGAUGAAGAAUGCUUAUGCUCAGGAAAGUGGCCAGCACGCUGUACUUCAGUAUUCCUGCUAGAUGUCAUGAGCAUGGCGCAUGAGAUGACAUGUGCAUGAAGGCUUACAUUAUAUUUGAGAAUAUCAAAUGAACAUUAUCUGCAAUCCGGUAGGUUCUUUAUGGAUAAUUUGCCACCUACACAUACAUUAUUAAAGCUUUUGAUGCACCUGAGUGCUCAUCUCUAAGUUACAGCAGUAAGAUGAAACCCCACCAAGUUAUUAUUACACAAUUUUUCUUGCUAAUAUGGUAUUUUACUACUGUAAUUACUUCCAUGUAGGAGACUCCAGAAAAAGGUUUCAUCUCCAUUAUUAGUGAUUUAUAGGAUCAACUUUGUGCAUGUCUUGAGCUUUCCUGUGACCUGCUGAAGCACAAUUAAUGGAAGCUAUAACAAGGAAAGUUGAAUUCCCUCAGAAGACAGAAACAGGACUUCCAGAAACAGGAAGAGGGGAAAAAUCUAUUACAGCAAGAGGAAAAUGUAGAAGAACAGGAACAUAUUACAAUAAGAACAGUUAUGGGGAACCUGACCAUAAUGGGGUAGAGAGGUGGAGAAGAAUUAUGAUAAAAAAUACAUAUGCUGCUCAGUAAACCCCUUCUGGCAAGGAUUGUAUUUACACAGAGAACACUUUUGCUUUGUUUUUAAAAACUUAAUGCCCCAGAUGUUAAUGGGAGAAAACGUCUGAGACUUCAUUCUUGUGUUGAAAACUGUAUGAGUCAAGCCCUGGGAAAAAAGGCAAUGUCCUCUACACAAGAAGAGGACUCACUGCACCGUUAUUCUGAAGACCAAGGUCAAAAUCUACUUGUCUUGAGGGGUUCUUUGGCCAAAGUCUCUCCUGAUGAGAUUAGGUCUGGAAAUAACACCAUGUUCUUUAAGGACAGGGAAUUUAGAGUGGAAUUCAAUAAAAAUUCCUCUGAGUGUGGUAUUUUCCUUCAUUUCCUCUUCCACUCUGCUGUAGUGCAAUAUCUCUCCUCCCAGCUACAAACUGCAGCAAAACCUGUCUGGGGAGAAUAAGGUUUAUGUACAAUGCCUGAUUGCAAUAAAGCUGGCUGAGCUAAAGUAUGAAGCCUCA